rnacentral:rRNA from 1 species
CAUUACCGAGUGUAGGGUUCCUAGCGAGCCCAACCUCCCACCCGUGUUUACUGUACCUUAGUUGCUUCGGCGGGCCCGCCAUUCAUGGCCGCCGGGGGCUCUCAGCCCCGGGCCCGCGCCCGCCGGAGACACCACGAACUCUGUCUGAUCUAGUGAAGUCUGAGUUGAUUGUAUCGCAAUCAGUUAAAACUUUCAACAAUGGAUCUCUUGGUUCCGGCAUCGAUGAAGAACGCAGCGAAAUGCGAUAACUAGUGUGAAUUGCAGAAUUCCGUGAAUCAUCGAGUCUUUGAACGCACAUUGCGCCCCCUGGUAUUCCGGGGGGCAUGCCUGUCCGAGCGUCAUUGCUGCCCAUCAAGCACGGCUUGUGUGUUGGGUCGUCGUCCCCUCUCCGGGGGGGACGGGCCCCAAAGGCAGCGGCGGCACCGCGUCCGAUCCUCGAGCGUAUGGGGCUUUGUCACCCGCUCUGUAGGCCCGGCCGGCGCUUGCCGAACGCAAAUCAAUCUUUUCCAGGUUGACCUCGGAUCAGGUAGGGAUACCCGCUGAACUUAAGCAUAUCAAUAA